rnacentral:snRNA from 1 species
GUGCUCACUUCAACAGCACAUGUACUAAAAUUAGAAUGAUACAGAGAAGAUUAGCAUAGCCCCUAUGCAAGGAUGACACCCAAAUUCAUGAAGCAUUCCAUCUUUUU